GCUCCGGUGGCCUAGUAGUUAGAGCGUCUGCCUCGGAUGCGGGAAGUCGUGGGUUCGAUCGCCAAACGAGGCA